AAUGAGGGUCAUAUCUGAAGCAAUGCUGCUGCUGGAGAGACUCAUAGAGAGAUUAUCGAACAGCGACGAUGGACAGGAAGACAUUGUUUUCUUUGUGGGCUCAACUGACCCCUGCUUCCAUCAUGAUGGAGGACAGGGAGUCAUACACCGAGGAGACCAGGCUCGUCCCCGCCCCCCCUACUGAGGCCAAGCCCCCGGGCCUUAACCCCCGCUACCCUCGUGGGGCUAGGCUGCCCUGGUUGGCUGCCCCAGCUGGUGGCAGCAACGAGAGGGUCGUCCUCCGCCCCCCUACUGAGGCCAAGCCCCCACAUAGACCCCCAGUGUCCUUCACAGUGGAUCUGCGGGACGCCCCGUUGAGCUCCGCCUCCUCGUCCCGGAACGCCGCUGCCUCCGCCCGCCGCCGGGCGCACGGUGGCGCCGAGGCGGACCUCUCUGGGACGGAGCGCUCCCAGUCCGCCAACGGCCAGAGGUCCCAGGCCCCAGGCAGGAUCGUCCUCCGCCCCCCUACUGAGGCCAAGCCCCCGGGCCUUAACCCCCGCUACCCUCGUGGGUCUAGGCUGCCCCGGUUGGCUGUGGCUGAGGAGGCUGACGGCCAGGAAGCCUGGAUCCAGGCGGCCCACUCCGACACCGUGUCCCUCUGUGCACGGGCUCUGGGUGCCGCCUCGAGCCAGGAGACUUCCCCGGGCCAAACCCCCACAGAAGUGGCUGACCCUGACCACCCUCGUGGGGCUAGGCUGCCCCGGUUGGCUGCCCCAGCCGCUGGCGCCAACGACAGGAUCGUCCUCCGCCCUACUGAGGCCAAGCCCCCCACAUAGACCCCCAG
ensembl:lncRNA